GACGAACGCUGGCGGCGUGCCUAAUACAUGCAAGUAGAACGCUGAAGAGAGGAGCUUGCUCUUCUUGGAUGAGUUGCGAACGGGUGAGUAACGCGUAGGUAACCUGCCUUGUAGCGGGGGAUAACUAUUGGAAACGAUAGCUAAUACCGCAUAACAAUGGAUGACACAUGUCAUUUAUUUGAAAGGGGCAAUUGCUCCACUACAAGAUGGACCUGCGUUGUAUUAGCUAGUAGGUGAGGUAACGGCUCACCUAGGCGACGAUACAUAGCCGACCUGAGAGGGUGAUCGGCUACACUGGGACUGAGACACGGCCCAGACUCCUACGGGAGGCAGCAGUAGGGAAUCUUCGGCAAUGGGGGCAACCCUGACCGAGCAACGCCGCGUGAGUGAAGAAGGUUUUCGGAUCGUAAAGCUCUGUUGUAAGUCAAGAACGAGUGUGAGAGUGGAAAGUUCACACUGUGACGGUAGCUUACCAGAAAGGGACGGCUAACUACGUG
rnacentral:rRNA from 1 species